rnacentral:rRNA from 1 species
CACGUAGGGUGCGAGCGUUGUCCGGAAUUAUUGGGCGUAAAGAGCUCGUAGGCGGUGUGUCGCGUCGGCCGUGAAAACCUGCAGCUUAACUGUGGGCUUGCGGUCGAUACGGGCAUCACUGGAGUUCGGCAGGGGAGACUGGAAUUCCUGGUGUAGCGGUGAAAUGCGCAGAUAUCAGGAGGAACACCGGUGGCGAAGGCGGUUCUCUGGG